UACGGAGGGUGCGAGCGUUGUUCGGAAUCAUUGGGCGUAAAGGGCGUGUAGGCGGUUCGUUAAGUGGGAUGUGAAAUCCCCGGGCUUAACCUGGGAAUUGCAUUUCAAACUGACCGACUAGAGUACGGUAGAGGGAGGUAGAAUUUCCUGUGUAGCGGUGAAAUGCGUAGAUAUAGGAAGGAAUACCAGUGGCGAAGGCGGCCUCCUGGAUCGAUACUGACGCUGAGGCGCGAAAGCGUGGGGAGCAAACAGG
rnacentral:rRNA from 1 species